GCACGCAACUAGUCUACGAUGUUGAAGAAUCUUCUUAUAAUUGCUUUGGUACUCGCUGUAAUGGGUCUGGCUGUUCAGGGUGCAUCUCAUGCCAAAGCGACGUUCAUGAAGGCGGCCCCUCAGGCUCCACCACCGGAGGGUGAAGAAGCAAGGGAGCAGACUCAGAAAAUAGCGGCCGGGGGACCUAGAGGUGUAUACUAAGUGUACCUACUUCGCCCUUAUCAAGUCCGUUGUAGUGGAAUGUGAAUAAAAUAUUCAUAUAUA